GCUAAUAUAACUCAAUCGGUAGAGUAAUUGAUUUGUAAUCAAUAAGUUGAGGGUUCAAAUCCUUCUAUUAGCU
rnacentral:tRNA from 1 species